rfam:Schistosoma rodhaini strain Burundi genome assembly, scaffold: SROB_scaffold0005420
AUCCAGAUGACGAGUCCCAAAUGGGACGAAACGCGCGUCAUUUAU